GCUUACGGCCAUACCACCCUGAGAACGCCCGAUCUCGUCUGAUCUCGGAAGCUAAGCAGGGUCGGGCCUGGUUAGUUCUUGGAUGGGAGACCGCCUGGGAAUACCAGGUGCUGUAAGCU
rnacentral:rRNA from 1 species